rnacentral:rRNA from 1 species
GAUGAACGCUGGCGGCGUGCCUAAUACAUGCAAGUCGAGCGAACGGACGAGAAGCUUGCUUCUCUGAUGUUAGCGGCGGACGGGUGAGUAACACGUGGAUAACCUACCUAUAAGACUGGGAUAACUUCGGGAGACCGGAGCUAAUACCGGUUAAUAUUUUGAACCGCAUGGUUCAAAAGUGAAAGACGGUCUUGCUGUCACUUAUAGAUGGAUCCGCGCUGCAUUAGCUAGUUGGUAAGGUAACGGCUUACCAAGGCAACGAUGCAUAGCCGACCUGAGAGGGUGAUCGGCCACACUGGAACUGAGACACGGUCCAGACUCCUACGGGAGGCAGCAGUAGGGAAUCUUCCGCAAUGGGCGAAAGCCUGACGGAGCAACGCCGCGUGAGUGAUGAAGGUCUUCGGAUCGUAAAACUCUGUUAUUAGGGAAGAACAUAUGUGUAAGUAACUGUGCACAUCUUGACGGUACCUAAUCAGAAAGCCACGGCUAACUACGUG